GGGGACUUAUUCUGCUCUAGUUGUGCUUAACGGCAGUGUUUAUUGAAGACAGUUAUCAUGAUACUGUAUUAUUUGUUUCUUCUAUUUUCAACAAUGAUCGGUGACAGCAUUGGACAGGAUACAAUUACUUCCACAUCUAAAGAAGAGCAUGUUUUGGAUGGAAACCACGUUACUCUGUCAUGCAACUACUCAGCUGCUAGUGUACGAAGUCUACACUGGUAUCGCCAGCACCCUGGAUCUAAACCAGAAUUCCUCAUCCUCGUCUUUGCUGAGCCAAAGACAGACAAGCGAUUCACUGCUGAACACGAUAAAAAGAACAGCCGUGUGCACCUGGAGAUCUCCUCUGUUCAACUGACAGACUCUGCUCUCUACUACUGUGCCCUGGAGCCCACAGUGACAGGAAACCCAGUUACCCUGUACUAAAACCUGACUUGAUUCUUGAACAAAAUACAAAGACAAAGUUCAAUAUUCAAUUAUGAUUGUUUCCCGUAAUACAUUCCCAUAAAUAAAACAUAUACUAUUAUGUUAUAGUUUGCUCAUUAAAUUAAGUUAUAAUGGCACCCAUAAAAGCAAAAGCAGUUUUAAAACUUUGUACGAUAUUUAUGUGCAUGCAUCAUAUUUAUGUGAUUUUCUUCUCACGUGGCAUUUUGAUGACGAGCUUGUCUCAUGCUAGAGGGGCUGUUAUAAAGCCACUGGGACCUGUUCAUAAACAGAUUCUAAAAUUUUCCAAACAUAAAAUGUGUCAAUAAAGUGAUUGUAAAUUAUUGACAGCUUCAGAUUUUACUCUUUAUUCUUAUUUAAUUUUAUUCCAUCUUUCUUUUCAUUUUUUUUGCAGUUUGCAGCUUGAUACUGAAUUUUAAUGCACCAAAUUAAUUUUAUGCAAACUAUAUUGUCUGUUGUUGAUGUUGUUAUGUCUUCUAUGUGCAUCUGUGAUUUCCUUGUUACUCAGAUAUUGUGUCCCAUUACUGAAACUUGCACAAGGAUUGCAGACUAAAAUUAGACUUGGCUAAGUCUUGAA